GGGCCAUUAGCUCAGUAGGUAGAGCACCUGACUUUUAAUCAGGGUGUCGGAGGUUCGAAUCCUCCAUGGCUCACCA
rnacentral:tRNA from 1 species